AGUCGAACGGUAACAGGUCUUCGGACGCUGACGAGUGGCGAACGGGUGAGUAAUACAUCGGAACGUGCCCAGUCGUGGGGGAUAACUACUCGAAAGAGUAGCUAAUACCGCAUACGAUCUGAGGAUGAAAGCGGGGGACCUUCGGGCCUCGCGCGAUUGGAGCGGCCGAUGGCAGAUUAGGUAGUUGGUGGGAUAAAAGCUUACCAAGCCGACGAUCUGUAGCUGGUCUGAGAGGACGACCAGCCACACUGGGACUGAGACACGGCCCAGACUCCUACGGGAGGCAGCAGUGGGGAAUUUUGGACAAUGGGCGAAAGCCUGAUCCAGCAAUGCCGCGUGCAGGAUGAAGGCCUUCGGGUUGUAAACUGCUUUUGUACGGAACGAAAAAGCUCCUUCUAAUACAGGGGGCCCAUGACGGUACCGUAAGAAUAAGCACCGGCUAACUACGUGCCAGCAGCCGCGGUAAUACGUAGGGUGCGAGCGUUAAUCGGAAUUACUGGGCGUAAAGCGUGCGCAGGCGGUUAUGUAAGACAGAUGUGAAAUCCCCGGGCUCAACCUGGGAACUGCAUUUGUGACUGCAUGGCUAGAGUACGGUAGAGGGGGAUGGAAUUCCGCGUGUAGCAGUGAAAUGCGUAGAUAUGCGGAGGAACACCGAUGGCGAAGGCAAUCCCCUG
rnacentral:rRNA from 1 species